rnacentral:lncRNA from 1 species
GCCGAGUCCACGCAUCAAAGGAGCCCUCACAGCUGUGAACGCAACUGCUUUGUUAAUUGUGCGCUGUGGUUUUCCAAGAGGAGGGCCGUGGAGCCCAGAUGAGGGGGCCAUCGGGAGAAAAAGGAAGGAGGAGGCAUCUGGUGAAAAUUGAGAAGCAAGUGAGCAGACCUGCCAAGUGGGUUCUUUCCAGAAGAAGGGGGACACUCUUCUAAGUUGAAUCUGCUUCCAGGACCUCACUGGGUGACAGAGCAGCUGGCAGAGUCAGCGGGCGGCUCCUGUCUGGCACAUUGUUUCCCUGGACCGGAGAAAGGACCAUCGGACGGAGCCCAGGCUGGCUUGCUGUCUGGUCUCUCACUGUCCUUUCCGAACAUUAACUCAAGUCACCCCCAGAAAAACUCUAGCUGGCCCAUCUUGAAAAUGACGCAUACUCAGCCAUAUUUAUUGGUUGAUUAACUGACCUGUGAUGGAGACAGCUACCCGA